UACUCCAAGGUUGGCACACAGGUGCUUCGUAGUCCCCAACGACAUUUUAGCUUUUACAACGAGACCAUUAAAGAUAUUUAAGACAAUGGUAGUAGAGAGUGUAGUUCUGUUCAGUUUGGAGUUCAGUUUAUCGCGAACCUUAUCACAGGGACUUCGAAGCACUACAGCUGCAUGCUGAUCUUGGAAUAAAUGCAAUAGGUGCUAGCUCAACAUAAAGAGUGACCUGUACUUUAAUGCAGCGAAAAAGAAGACUGGUGACGGUUAUAAAUGUGUUUUCUUGUAUUGAGUGGUAGUAAAGAAAUGUCUAACAUAUCCUUUGGUUGACCUACUUACUGGAGGUCAGCCACCAACGACAGACCUGCAUCAUGUGCCACUGCUGGGUGGUCGCAAUCUUUUGAAACUUAAAAACGCACUGUUAAUUGUCUAUAAUCAGCACAAGUGCUUUCAUUGCGUAUUAUUAAUAUUAUUGAAAUUACAUAGUUAUGUUUACAGUGAUAUAUUGGGAGGGAAAAAUAUUUCCCAGGGUGGGGGUGUUCCCCGUCCCCCCUGGGAUUUCCACCUAUGGUGUGGUUAUUGCAAUAGGUCUAAGACUGCUCUAAUGACACUCUUUCUCUCUUCAUAAAUUGUCGAUCUUUCUGAAGGAUGUGGGAAUGCAGUUCUCCCCUGGACCAUAGCUGGUAUGUCUCUCAGUGUGACUGUAGCCCUUCUCAUCUACCUGUCUACAAAUGCUUACAUACGGAUGCAAGGUAAGAAUGUGAAACCAAAAGAAGAGGAGAGUACCUACAUCUCAUUGGAUAAAAAAUACACGUCUCAGGAAGAGUAUGAGGUCAUUGCCAGGCGUCCAAGAUGAUUGAGCACCCCUCCACCCACCCACCCACCCACUCCUAAGCUUAUGCUGAGAGUUUUCAGUAGACUGAGAUCAUUUUCAUGUAAAAUAAUUCACACGUAUUGUCUUAAUAAAGUUUCUGAUUUGUAUGCAUAAAAUGAAAAAGUUAUUAAGCACAUUUUUUUUAUAAUAAAAAUGAUUAUGUAUUUCAUGGAAAAGCACAAGUAUUAUACGUUUUAAAAAAUCACAUACUUUUUUCAAUUUUUACUUUAGAUAGACUAUGUGAAUCAAACAUGGAGAUAUAAUGAUUCUUUGCACUCUGCACUAUCAUCCUGAAAUUGUACAUUUGCUCAUUGCACUUUGUGCAUUGCUGUAGAUUCCUUCACCUGCCAAUUCUUUUCUUCAAUAUAUAUAUAUUUCCAUUCCAUAUUGUGGUAAAAAAAAGAUGUGUGAUGUAGUUACUGUAAACAAUGAAGAGGUGGCAUGAGAUUAACUGUUAAUUAAGUAAUGGAGAAACUGUAUGAAAUAAUAUAUACUGUCGUGGCCAAAAUGUUGGCAUCCUUGCACUUUUUUCAAGUAACUCACAAUUUUCCCUAAAAAUAAGUUGAAAUUGAAUAAAGUAUUUGGUCUCCACAGUUCUUUAUUUCACUGUUAAUAUUACAGAACCUUUGUUUUUGAUUCAGAACACA
rnacentral:lncRNA from 1 species